rnacentral:rRNA from 1 species
AGUGAACGCUGGCGGUAGGCCUAACACAUGCAAGUCGAACGGCAGCACAGGAGAGCUUGCUCUCUGGGUGGCGAGUGGCGGACGGGUGAGGAAUACAUCGGAAUCUACUUUUUCGUGGGGGAUAACGUAGGGAAACUUACGCUAAUACCGCAUACGACCUGCGGGUGAAAGCAGGGGACCUUCGGGCCUUGCGCGAUUGAAUGAGCCGAUCUCGGAUUAGCUAGUUGGCGGGGUAAAGGCCCACCAAGGCGACGAUCCGUAGCUGGUCUGAGAGGAUGAUCAGCCACACUGGAACUGAGACACGGUCCAGACUCCUACGGGAGGCAGCAGUGGGGAAUAUUGGACAAUGGGCGCAAGCCUGAUCCAGCCAUACCGCGGGGGUGAAGAAGGCCUUCGGGUUGUAAAGCCCUUUUGUUGGGAAAGAAAUCCAGCUGGCUAAUACCCGGUUGGGAUGACGGUACCCAAAGAAUAAGCACCGGCUAACUACGUGCCAGCAGCCGCCGUAA